CUCAGUUCAGAUCGUAGGCUGCAACUCGCCUACGUGAAGGAGGAAUCGCUAGUAAUCGCAGGUCAGCAUACUGCGGUGAAUACGUUCCCGGGCCUUGUACACACCGCCCGUCACACCAUGGAAGUUGGCCACGCCCGAAGCCGUUACUCCAACCCUUGUGGAGGAGGACGUCGAAGGUGGGGCUGAUGACUGGGGUGAAGUCGUAACAAGGUAGCCGUACCGGAAGGUGCGGCUGGAUCACCUCCUAACAGGGAGACAAACAACGAUUUUGAUGUCUGAGUACUUUUAUUCUCAGGCCGAAAUCCUGUCACCUUAGGUCGAUCGGUACCUCAGCAUUGAGAGCAAUGACUGAUGAGCAAUCGUCAGGAGAUUGAAGGAGAUGUUCAGUUCCUAAACUUUGUCUAGGUCACACCCCAAAAGGGAUGAGACUCCUGGGCCAUUAGCUCAGGUGGUUAGAGCGCACCCCUGAUAAGGGUGAGGUCCCUGGUUCAAGUCCAGGAUGGCCCAUUCGGUGUUGGGGGUUUAGCUCAGUUGGUAGAGCGCCUGCUUUGCAAGCAGGAUGUCAGGAGUUCGAGUCUCCUAACCUCCACUGACCGAACUUGAUUCCCAUCUCCAAGUGUUUGGAGUUGAGCUCGAUUGGCGUGUGAUUUUAGAUGUGUCCGCUGGAUGACCCCAGCUUCCUGUCAUUCCAAAUGAAAGCAAAGGAAAUUGCUUGUUGAAUUUGGUUGAUAAGAUGCUGG
rnacentral:misc_RNA from 1 species